rnacentral:tRNA from 2 species
GCGCCGUCCAGCCGGUGGAACACACACCUUUGUGUGUCUGGGUUCGAUUCCCAGCGUCCGCACCA